rnacentral:rRNA from 1 species
GAUGAACGCUGGCGGCGUGCUUAACACAUGCAAGUCGAACGGUGAAGGCGGAGCUUGCUCUGCUGGAUCAGUGGCGAACGGGUGAGUAACACGUGAGCAAUCUGCCCCUGACUCUGGGAUAAGCGCUGGAAACGGCGUCUAAUACUGGAUACGAGCUGCGAAGGCAUCUUCAGCAGCUGGAAAGAAUUUCGGUCAGGGAUGAGCUCGCGGCCUAUCAGCUUGUUGGUGAGGUAAUGGCUCACCAAGGCGUCGACGGGUAGCCGGCCUGGGAGGGUGACCGGCCACACUGGGACUGAGACACGGCCCAGACUCCUACGGGAGGCAGCAGUGGGGAAUAUUGCACAAUGGGCGAAAGCCUGAUGCAGCAACGCCGCGUGAGGGACGACGGCCUUCGGGUUGUAAACCUCUUUUAGCAGGGAAGAAGCGAAAGUGACGGUACCUGCAGAAAAAGCGCCGGCUAACUACGUG